rnacentral:lncRNA from 1 species
UGCAUGUCUAACAAUUUCCCAGCUGAUGCCAAAGCUGCUGAUCAGAGUCUACACCUUAAGAAAUAAGACUCUGAGAAUUUAUAGAAACAAACAUUAGAAGGCAGGAAUGUGGAGAGAAGAAAGCUACCUGACAAGGGAAUCUCAGGAUACAAGGAAAACACCAAGAAGACACCUGCCUGAGGGUCUUAUAGCUAAUGGACUGCAGAAGACUUGAGUCAUCAUUCAAAUUCAGUAGCCAUCCUCUGAUGUCCAGUUGAAGAUUGGUGAUUCCAGAAUAGCUCGCAUUGCCCCAGUUGACUUGCCACACAGCUUCUUUCAGGACUUGAAAAUGUCCUAGCCACCCCCAUCUUACCUCCUACUUCCAAUGCCUUUUAAGAUAGAAAACAAAAAACAAAACAACAAAAAAACACCAGCCACCCUUGUGGGUUAGAUAAUCCUACAUCAAGGUGAAUUCUUGAUAACCAGUUCUGUUCUUCCUUAUGUCUUGUAAACAUGCUAAUUAGAAGGAGCUUGUGUUUGAAGAUCAAGGGAGGAAGAAUUCUGAAGCCAGGGCUAGCCUUAGGGGACAUAACUCCUUCCAGUCACUUCCUGAAUUUUUUGGUACCUGGCUUUUGAGAGUCCUCCAAAGUGAGAAUUUCAUGACAUGUAACCUCUCAACACCUGCAUUUUAAAAAAUUGUCCAAAAUACCGCAGAUACCACAGAAAAGUCCAAAACUUAAGUUUUUCCCUCCACUCAGAGCAUCUUAGCAACAUACUAACCAUAAGACUCUAAGCGCUCUUACCCUCAAUGCAAUUCUCACUGAAUAUCCUGUCAGGAGAACUCUACCUCUCUUCCAUGUUAUUAAGGUUAUUGUUCUUUGCAAGGUGUACACAACACAAAUAUAUUUCUUGGUGAAUGAACUCACUCUCAAAGACUGCUGUCCUUGGGGAUAUAGCCAACAUGCCAUAUCCACAACAUAGGUCUUCUUUACAGUCCUGUUGAAACAUGUAAGAUCAGCUACUAAGUCCCUGCAUCUCAGACAGGAACUUAAUAGAGUACAUUUAAAAAAAAAAUUCAGAAGUAAUUAAAACAAAUUGCAUACAAGCCACCUGUUUAGAAAGUUCAUAAAUUUUAUGCAAUUAUUUAUCUCUUUAUUUUUUCUGAAAUCAAGAGCAGAAUGUAUCCAAGUGAAACUAAAAGAGCGAGGUCAAGGGGAAACAACACAGGGCUUGUGGAGUCAUAAAUAUGUAUUAAAGCAGCAGAGUUAAUUUUGUCCCAAGUUCCAUAUUGGCCAGGAAAAAAGAAACAAGAUCAGCAGAGUUAACAGCUCUCAACCUGAAUAUGCCUCAGAAUUUCUAGGAGGACUUAAGUAAUGAGAUUCCUGGGUUUCUACAUGGACCAACUCAAUCAAACUCUUCAGGAGACAGCUGCUGUUGUUAGACUGUGUCUCCCAAAAUUCUUGUGUUGGAAACUUAGUUCCCAAUGUAAUGAUACUGGCAGGUGUGGCCUAGUGGGGGGUGUUUAGAUCAUGAGGGCUUCAGCCUCAUGAAUGGAUUAAUGUUGAUAUCUCAGGAGUGAGUUUCCUCUUGCUCUCUGUAGCCCUCUCUCUUGCCACAUGAUGACUUCCACCAGGUUAUGACUCAACAGGAAGGCCCUCACAAGAUGUGGAACCUCAAUCUUAGACUUCUCAGCCUCCAGAAGUGAGCCAAAUAAAUUUCUGUUCAUUAUACAUUACUUAGUCUGGAUUAUUCUGUUAUAAGGGCACAAAACAGACUAGUACACAAUAUGUGUGUGCUUUUUACAUCAGAUGAAUCUCAUGGUCAGUUAAGUCUGGAAAUCACUUGUCUAAAUGAGUUGCGUUUGGUUUUUCCUAAGAAAUAUGCUGUCAGUUCCUCAAGAGAAGCAAAAUAUACCAGCCCUUAUAUUUCCUUUAAGAAGACUCACCUAAUUUAGGUCAUAUAUCUCAAAGUG